rnacentral:rRNA from 1 species
AUUGAACGCUGGCGGCAGGCCUAACACAUGCAAGUCGAACGAGUGGCGGACGGGUGAGUAAUGUCUGGGAAACUGCCUGAUGUAGGGGGAUAACUACUGGAAACGGUAGCUAAUACCGCAUACCAUCGGAUGUGCCCAGAUGGGAUUAGCGAGUAGGUGGGGUAACGGCUCACCUCGGCGACGCUCCCUAGCUGGUCUGAGAGGAUGACCAGCCACACUGGAACUGAGACACGGUCCAGAAGCCUCCGCGUGGCACCGGAGGGGAAUAUUGCGCAAUGGGCGCAAUCCUGAUGCAGCCAUGCCGCUGGGAUGAAGAAGGCCUUGGGGUUUUAAAGUUCUUUCAGCGGGGAGGCGGUAGCCGCAGAAGAAGCACCGGCUAACUCCGUGCCAGCAGCCGCGGUAAUUC